rnacentral:rRNA from 1 species
UUGGAAGUAAAAGUCGUAACAAGGUCUCCGUUGGUGAACCAGCGGAGGGAUCAUUACUGAGUUUACGCUCUACAACCCUUUGUGAACAUACCUAUAACUGUUGCUUCGGCGGGUAGGGUCUCCGCGACCCUCCCGGCCUCCCGCCUCCGGGCGGGUCGGCGCCCGCCGGAGGAUAACCAAACUCUGAUUUAACGACGUUUCUUCUGAGUGGUACAAGCAAAUAAUCAAAACUUUUAACAACGGAUCUCUUGGUUCUGGCAUCGAUGAAGAACGCAGCGAAAUGCGAUAAGUAAUGUGAAUUGCAGAAUUCAGUGAAUCAUCGAAUCUUUGAACGCACAUUGCGCCCGCCAGCAUUCUGGCGGGCAUGCCUGUUCGAGCGUCAUUUCAACCCUCAAGCUCUGCUUGGUGUUGGGGCCCUACAGCCGAUGUAGGCCCUCAAAGGUAGUGGCGGACCCUCCCGGAGCCUCCUUUGCGUAGUAACUUUACGUCUCGCACUGGGAUCCGGAGGGACUCUUGCCGUAAAACCCCCCAAUUUUCCAAAGGUUGCCUCGGAU